UAACUCUUCGUAUGCCUCAGAAGGGCCGA
rnacentral:piRNA from 1 species